rnacentral:rRNA from 1 species
AACGGUCAUACCAUGCUGAAUAUACCGGUUCUCGUUAGAUCACCGAAGUCAAGCAUCAUUGGGCGCGGUCAGUACUUGGGUGGGUGACCACCUGGGAACACCGCGUGCCGU